rnacentral:lncRNA from 1 species
AAGCAGACCAAUGUGCAAUCUCUUAGAGCUCUGUAGGUGCUCUUAGAUAAUGUAAAAGCCUCAAAGAAAGAUAAAUGAAACUAGCCUUUUGGUGAGAAGGUCUUAAGAUUUUGGCAGAAUUUUAAAAAAUAUAUUUGAAGCCUCCAAUUCCUCUUCACUGUUACAGAUAAAGAAGAUAAACCCUUAACAGGAGAAGGGACUUUAACGAAGAAAGUUUUGGAAGAUACAAACUUGUCAGUACUUUCCUUUUUUCCAAUGUAAAAUAACUGCCCAGGAGCACCAGGAAUUUAAACACAACAAGUAUAUACUCCCCAAUGCAGCAAAUGGUCCUUAUUCAUACCCCUCCAGCUCUGUAGUAAUGAUGUCACUGAAUCAAUGUUCAAGAUUUGUUCUGAACAUGUCUUUGUCGGGGUAAUUAGCCUCCUUAUCAUCCACUCUUUGUAUUUUAAAUGGUUGUACUAAAUGGCUUUUGGGUAAUGUGGUUUCUGAUGCACCAUCAAGCGAAGAAUAAAGAUACAUUGCCUCAGUGAGAGUGUUUGACA